GUGAUCUGCCGCACAGGCAGCUCAGAAA
rnacentral:other from 1 species